GAUGAAGAACGCAGCGAAAUGCGAUAAGUAAUGUGAAUUGCAGAAUUCAGUGAAUCAUCGAAUCUUUGAACGCACAUUGUGCCCCCUGGUAUUCCGGGGGGCAUGCCUGUCCGAGCGUCAUUACAACCCUCAAGCUCAGCUUGGUGUUGGGCCCCGCCGCCCCGGCGGGCCCUAAAGUCAGUGGCGGUGCCGUCCGGCUCCGAGCGUAGUAAUUCUUCUCGCUCUGGAGGUCCGGUCGUGUGCUCGCCAGCAACCCCCAAUUUUUUUCAGGUUGACCUCGGAUCAGGUAGGGAUACCCUCUGAACUUAAGCAUAUCAAUAAGCGGAGGA
rnacentral:misc_RNA from 1 species